rnacentral:rRNA from 1 species
UACAGAGGCCUCGAGCGUUAGGCGGAAUCACUGGGCUUAAAGCGUGUGUAGGCGGACCUCUAAGUACCUUGUGAAAUCCCACGGCUCACCCGUGGAACUGCUCGGUAUACUGGUCGUCUUGAGCCUUCUAGGGGCGAGUGGAACAAAUGGUGGAGCGGUGAAAUGGCGUAGAUAUCAUUUGGAACGCCAAUGGUGAAAACAACUCGCUGGGGAAGUGCUGACGCUGAGACACGAAAGCCAGGGGAGCGAACGGG